GAACUAUGUUUGGAACUUUGAAAGUUCUAUGGGGAGUUUAUAGCUCUGUAGUUUU
rnacentral:tRNA from 1 species